rnacentral:rRNA from 1 species
GACGAACGCUGGCGGCGUGCCUAAUACAUGCCAGUUGAGCGAUGAAGAUUGGUGCUUGCACCAAUUUGAAGAGCAGCGAACGGGUGAGUAACGCGUGGGGAAUCUGCCUUUGAGCGGGGGACAACAUUUGGAAACGAAUGCUAAUACCGCAUAACAACUUUAAACAUAAGUUUUAAGUUUGAAAGAUGCAAUUGCAUCACUCAAAGAUGAUCCCGCGUUGUAUUAGCUAGUUGGUGAGGUAAAGGCUCACCAAGGCGAUGAUACAUAGCCGACCUGAGAGGGUGAUCGGCCACAUUGGGACUGAGACACGGCCCAAAAUCCUACGGGAGGCAGCAGUAGGGAAUCUUCGGCAAUGGACGAAAGUCUGACCGAGCAACGCCGCGGGAGUGAAGAAGGUUUUCGGAUCGUAAAACUCUGUUGGUAGAGAAGAACGUUGGUGAGAGUGGAAAGCUCAUCAAGUGACGGUAACUACCCAGAAAGGGACGGCUAACUACGUG